rnacentral:lncRNA from 1 species
UCCUGGAAUUCCCAAAUCCGGGAAUAAAGUGCAGAAAUGUCCGUGGGGGGAGGGGAAUACCCGGAUUUCUUUAAAUAAUGGGGGAGGGGGGGAUAAAUAUUCCCGUGGGAAAAGGGGGGAGGGGAUCCCAGAGUUCUCGAUCCAAGGGGAUCCCAGAGUUCUCGAUCCAUGAGGAAUUCCAGAUCCCAAAGUUCUCGAUCCAGGGGGAUCCCAAAGUUCUCGAUCCCUGGGGAUCCCAGAGUUCUCGAUCCAGGGGGAAUUGGGGAUCCCAAAGUUCUCAGUUCAUGGGAAUUCCGGAUCCCAAAGUUCUCGAUCCCCAGGGAUCCCAAAGUUCUCAAUCCGGGGGGAUUUGGGGAUCCCGAAGUUCUCAUUCCAAGAGGAAUUCCAGAUCCCAGAGUUCUCGAUCCAGGGGGAAUUCCAGAUCCCAAAGUUUUCAGUUCAUGGGGAAUUCCAGAUCCCAAAGUUUUCAUUCCCCAGGGAUUUGGGGAUCCCAAAGUUCUCAUUCGAGAAGGAUCCCAAGGUUCUCAGUUCAUGGGGAAUUCCAGAUCCCAAAGUUCUCGUUCCAAGCGGAUUUGGGGAUCCCAAAGUUCUCGAUCCCUGGGGAUCCCAAAGUUCUCAGUUCAUGGGAAUUCCAGAUCCCAGAGUUCUUGAUCCAGGGGGAUUUGGGGAUCCCAAAGUUUUUGAUCCCCGGUGAUCCCAAAGUUCUCAUUCCAUGA